AAAGUUAAUUUUAACUUUUAUAUUUAUUAUAAAUUUAUAUUAUAAAAAUAAUUUAUUUACUUUAAUAAUUUUAAAAAUUAUUAAAUUUAUGUAGAUUAUAUAAUUUUAAAAAUUAAAGAAAUUUAAAUUUAGUAAUAUUUUAAAAAUUAAUAAAUUUAGUGCCAGCAAUUGCGGUUAUACUAAAAAUUUAUUAAAUAAUAUGAUUUUAUAUGAAUUAAUAAGUUUGUUUGAAAAUUAAAAUUAAAAUUGUUAGGUAAAAUUUUAAUUUUAAUAUAAUUUAAAUUUAUAAAUAAUUAUAUGAAGUUUAAUAAUCUAAACAAUAAACUAGAAUUAGAUACUCUAUUAUUUUAGAAAAAUUAAAAAUAAAAUAAGUAAGUAAAAGUUAUGUUCUAAAAAUUUAAAAAAUUUGGCAGUAUUUUAAUUAAAUUAGAGGAAUCUGUAUAUUAAUUGAUAAUCCACAAUUAAUUUUACUUAAUUUUAUUAGUUUAUAUAUCGUUGUUAUAAAAAUUUUUUUUAGAAAAUAAAAAUUUAAAAUUUUUAAAAUAAAAUUAUAUCAAAUCAAGAUGUAGCGAAUGAUUAAGAAUUUUAUGGAUUAUUAGUAAAUAAAUUUAUUGGAUUAUUUUUUGAAAAUUAAAAGUUUAAAAUGAGAUUUAAAAGUAAUUUAAUUUAAAUUAUUUAAAUGAUUAAAUUUUAAAAUAUGCACAUAUUGCCCGUCACUUUCAUUAAAAAUUGAAAUAAGUCGUAACAAAGUAGAGAUACUGGAAAGUGUUUCUAGAAAGAU
rnacentral:ncRNA from 1 species